AUUGAACGCUGGCGGCAGGCUUAACACAUGCGAGUCGAGCGGUAACAGAGAGAAGCUUGCUUCUCUGCUGACGAGCGGCGGACGGGUGAGUAAUGCCUAGGAAUCUGCCUAGUAGUGGGGGAUAACUUGCCGAAAGGUAAGCUAAUACCGCAUACGUCCUAUGGGAGAAAGGAGGGGACCUUCGGGCCUUUCGCUAUUAGAUGAGCCUAGGUCGGAUUAGUUAGUUGGUGAGGUAAUGGCUCACCAAGACCGCGAUCCGUAACUGGUCUGAGAGGAUGAUCAGUCACACUGGAACUGAGACACGGUCCAGACUCCUACGGGAGGCAGCAGUGGGGAAUAUAGGACAAUGGGGGGAACCCUGAUCCAGCCAUGCCGCGUGUGUGAAGAAGGUCUUAGGAUUGUAAAGCACUUUAAGUUGGGAGGAAGAGCAGUUAACUAAUAUUUGACUGUUUUGACGUUACCGACAGAAUAAGCACCGGCUAACUUCGUGCCAGCCGCCGCAGUAA
rnacentral:rRNA from 1 species